UCUUUAUUUAAAUAUUUUAAUAUACAAAAAAAGGGUAAUUAAUAAAAAUACACUGCAAUAUAUGCUGCCUUUUUGCACUUAUAUACGCAACGAUCCUAUCAGUUUCUAAAAGCAAUUAUAAAAGCAAACAAUACAUCAAUAUUAAAAACAAACUUACCUUCAUUAACGUCGGCGACUUUGCUCCAUUCUUUUAAACGUUUUAGACGGUUUUUGGCUCUCAUAAAGGUUUGAAAAACUGUGAUAUAUCAGAGCGAGGUUUUUUAGUAUGGAUUGAGCGACGAAGGAGUGAGGUCCAUGCAAAAAAACAGAGUUCUGAUAUUUCACAGUACAGACCGCGAACAAGCGAGGUCAAUGAUCGGUUUAUUAUAUGGCCAAACUGAGUCUGUGAGCGCGAAUUAAAUCGACUAUCGUCAGUUUCACUGGGUAACAAUAUACGGU